GUUGUGAGUGUGAGGUCAGUUAUUUGUCUGGUAUGUUUGGUGUAUUGCCCGGCAUGGUUGCUAGACAUCCCCUUGUUUGUCUGUACCUCUAGUGAGGGGGUCCCAGGGGUUCCUCGUAGGGGGAACCACAAGUCAGCAAGCAGUAGUUGUU